rnacentral:rRNA from 1 species
AUUGAACGCUGGCGGCAGGCCUAACACAUGCAAGUCGAGCGGGGUUUUCGGACCUAGCGGCGGACGGGUGAGUAAUGCGUAGGAAGCUACCCGAUAGAGGGGGAUACCAGUUGGAAACGACUGUUAAUACCGCAUAAUGUCUACGGACCAAAGUGUGGGACCUUCGGGCCACAUGCUAUCGGAUGCGCCUACGUGGGAUUAGCUAGUUGGUGAGGUAAUGGCUCACCAAGGCGACGUUCCCUAGCGGGUUUGAGAGGAUGAUCAGCCACACUGGAACGGAGAAACGGUCCAGACUCCUACGGGAGGCAGCAGUGGGGAAUAUUGGACAAUGGGCGCAAGCCUGAUCCAGCCAUGCCGCGUGUGUGAAGAAGGCCUUCGGGUUGUAAAGCACUUUCAGUAGGGAGGAAGCGUUGUGUGUUAAUAGUACACAGCGUUGACGUUACCUACAGAAGAAGCACCGGCUAACUCUGUGCCAGCCGCCGCCGUAAGAC